ACCAUUCAGACAGGAUGCUUAAAGGCAAGGUCGCGUAAAGAUGAAGUUGGCUAGCGAUUUUAAAGACGUCUACACAUUGCUUGCUUGUUGUUUACUUCCAUUUACAUGUCUCGAGGAUGUCAAUUUGAACGAGGGACUAUCAAACUAGCUUCCUCUCGCUACCCCUAGUAAUCUUCGCAUUAUGGCGCGCACGUAUCCUUCUCAGCCUGUGUGGGCGAUGGAAUAAACUGAUGCUCAGUGAUGGAAUAGAGUGUCCAGGAACUUUGAGUUCAACAUCAUAUCGGGAUAAUGGGGAAGUAACGACUACAUCUUGCACAAGCUCUGGGUGAAAACCAGGAAGCUUCGUUUGUUCCAGAGGAAAAGCAUGAAUAAAACCAGAUCUGUUUAAAGGCAUACUACGCAGGGUUUUUUUUUUUUAAUGGUUACAUGGUUACAAAAAAAUUCUUC